GGCGGCGGCCAUCUCGAAGAAAGUGGGACGGGUCCCUUGUCCUCCUACUUGAAAUAACAUUUUUCUUCUCUUCUUCUUCUUUCUUUCUUUCCUCUUCUUCCAAGAAUCAAGUCUUCGAAACAGAGACGAAGAAGAAGAAGAAGAAAGAGUUUGCAAGAAAUGGGAGAUUGCAGACCAUUGGGGUUCUUGCUGGGCCUGCCAUUUGCUUUGGUUGCUCUGCUUUUGUCUCUUGUUGGUGCUGUUGUCUGGAUCAUUGGGUAUGUUCUCUUCCAAAUCUGAAAAUUUUUCUUUCCCCUUUUCCCUUUUCACUACUAAUUUUGAUCCUUUAGAAGAAAAACCCAGAUCAUAAUUUUACAGAUUUUCAUAAAUUUGUGUUUAAAUAGCUUGAUUGGGUGACUGAUCUCCGAUUUUUUCUUCUCCAAUGGCAGGACUAUAUUCAGUUGCUUGUGCCCAUGUUGUGUAUGUUGUGCUGGUCUGGCGAAUUUUGCAGUGGAUCUCAUAAAGCUGCCUUUCAAAAUACUUAAAUGGUUCACUGAUCAGAUCCCUUGUUGAUAUCCAAGAAAUUCAUGAUGAUACUCAUUUGCUUCUUUUUUCUUUCAUUUUUUUUUUUCUGGUUUUAUAGAUUUUAUUAACUCUGUAAUUUCAUUAGUUUUUGUUAUGGAUUAUAUUGCUUUCUAGGAUUGUUGGGGUGUUGGAUUUUGGCUCUUAUUUGUAUUGGAUUUGUUUAUUAUUGAAGAAUUUGUUUUGUUGAUAAAA
rnacentral:misc_RNA from 1 species